rnacentral:rRNA from 1 species
AUUGAACGCUGGCGGCAGGCCUAACACAUGCAAGUCGAGCGGAUGAAGGGAGCUUGCUCCUGGAUUCAGCGGCGGACGGGUGAGUAAUGCCUAGGAAUCUGCCUGGUAGUGGGGGAUAACGUCCGGAAACGGGCGCUAAUACCGCAUACGUCCUGAGGGAGAAAGUGGGGGAUCUUCGGACCUCACGCUAUCAGAUGAGCCUAGGUCGGAUUAGCUAGUUGGUGGGGUAAAGGCCUACCGAGGCGACGAUCCGUAACUGGUCUGAGAGGAUGAUCAGUCACACUGGAACUGAGACACGGUCCAGACUCCUACGGGAGGCAGCAGUGGGGAAUAUUGGACAAUGGGCGAAAGCCUGAUCCAGCCAUGCCGCGUGUGUGAAGAAGGUCUUCGGAUUGGAAAGCACUUUAAGUUGGGAGGAAGGGCAGUAAGUUAAUACCUUGCUGUUUUGACGUUACCAACAGAAUAAGCACCGGCUAACUUCGUG